AACAUGGAGGUAAGAAGUUAGGGAGUGGUUGUUUGGCGUGGAUGCUGAAGUCAUUUUGCUUUUUGGGACACGCCCACUAAUGCGACAAAAACAAACGGCGAAUACAAGUUUGAAAUGGUGUUUUUAAUGAAAUAAAUAAUGUCGUGUUGUGCUUAUGGUUGUACGAAUAGGCUAGCGAAAAAGCAGACGGGAAUUACAUUUCACAAGUAAGUUUAUAUCAAACCAGGAGCUUCUAUUAUUGAAGUGGUGAGAUGAAUAAGAGAAGACAAGACAUGUCUCAAGAAAGAUGAAAUAGUUAUAGUAGCAGGUGGAAAUUACGUGUUCAAGAAAGAAUAAAAAAAUUCGUGUUGUGCUUAUGGUUGUACAAAUAGGCUAGCGAAAAAGCAGACAGGAAUUACAUUUCACAAGUAAGUUUAUAUAUCAAACCAGGAGCUUCUAUAAUUGAAAUGGUGAGAGGAAUAAGAGAAGACAAGACAUGUCUCAAGAAAGAAGAUGAGAUAGUUAUAGUAGCAGGUGGAAAUUACGUGUUAAAGAAACAAUCAAAAACUGUGUAUCUCAGUUUGAAAUAUGUAUUACCUUCAUUAUGUAACACAAAAGUGGCGGUAUGUACAAUCCCACACAGAUUUGACUUGAUGGAUAACUCAUGUGUAAAUAUAGGGAUAAGGAAAACUAAUGAAAAAAUUCUGACUCUGUAGUAAGUACAAUUUUGUACGAGUACGUAUAUUUUGCUGAUGACACAAAUCUUCUUAUAACUCCAGAAAAAUAUUGGAAUUAAAAAAUAAAACUGAAUUUGAAAUAAUUAACUUGAAUAAGUGGUUUGAUGCAAAUAAUUUAAAACUUGAAAUAAUUAACUUGAAUAAGUGGUUUGAUGCAAAUAAUUUAAAACUUAAUAUAAAUAAAACAAAAUUUAUUAAAUUUGGUAAUAAAAGACUGCUCGAUCAAGUAUUAUCUGAAUUUCAGAAUCAAGCGAUAAGUCAAACUGAAUCAACUAAAUUCUUGGGCUUACAUAUUGAUGAUAAACUAAAAUGGAAUGUACAUAUCAAUCAAACUAUUCAUAAAUUAAGUAAAGCUUGCUACGCCCUCAGAAUUCUUAGCCAAAUUAUAGACAGAAAUUCUCUACGAACUGCAUACAUUGCACUUUUUCACACACACAUGGUAGGCCUAUAUGUAAUUGAAAUAUGGGGUAAGUGUAGUAAUAGUAUUAAAAUUUUUAGAUUGCAAAAAAAAAACCAUAUGUAUUAUAUGUUUAGCUGAUACAAGAGCCUCAUGUAAACCUUUAUUUACUGAGUGGAAUAUAUUCCCUUUUUUUUCGUAAUAUAUUUAUAGGUUGCUCUUAUUUGUAAAAUUGUAAAUAAUUUUGUAGAAUCUGAACAUACUGGACCAUAUAUCACAAGAUAUAACUAUAAACUGAAACCAAAAUUCCACACUUAAGAUGUAUAACACUAUUUAAUAAACUACCUAAAGAAAUUAUAUUACUACAAAAUUUUAAUGAAUUCAAAAAAGUUGUUAGAGAAUACAUCAAAGGAUAAAAAUAUUUAUUUAGCUGGUGAAAUAACACCUUGUAAUGACAAUAUAAAUAAUAUGUAAUUUGCUGUAUAAUUAAUAGGACACCCUACAAAUGAUUCAGAGUAUAUUAAAUGAAAAAUAUGUACUGUUUGUUGUGUUGUGUAAAUUGUGAAAAUUAUAAAAUUUGUUAUUAUUUGUUGAAAGUGUAGAUUAGCAAAAUUCAUUAUAAUUGUAAACUUGAUUAUUUUAUUGCAAUUUUAACUAUGUUUAAUUUUUGUUUAUAAUGUGACAAGGUCAAUAUCCCUUGAGCUGUUGGCUCAUGUAGGGAUCUGCAGGUGGAUUGAAAAAAAUUAAAAAAAUGAAAUAAAAUAGAUUGUGUUAUCUGCAUGAAACCAUAAUUUAGUGAGGAAAUGGAUGAGGAGAAGUGAUUUAAUCUGUAAAACAUUUCACUUUUAGUUUUAUGCAGUGUGGUUUAGUAUCAUUUUGUUCUAAAAUUCCCUCGGCGUAACUUUUCUGUAAUUAAAGUAAUAAAAAUCAAUUUCGAAAAUAUUUCUUUCGAAGUAGUCAAAUGUGGAUAGUGUUUGAUUAGGCUAGGUUAGUAACAACACUAGAUUGUAGGUUAGGUUAGUAUAGCUACAUUAAAAAUGCUGUAAAAUAUUUUUAGUGUUUUUCAGGAAUUACCAAUUUAAGAUGUACCAGUUGCCAGAGGGAAAUGCUGAAAAUUCAUUAAUUGCACAGAAAGAUAGAGGUGGAAUAACAUACCCGUCUAAGGACGUGCAAAGUAUUUGUAAGAUGAAAAAACAUUUUUUUCCUCUUUGAAUCAGCAUAUGCAUGACAUGUCCCCAUUGAAUAAUCAUAUUGUUUAUUUGACAAAAGCAGUUUCUGAUAAGUAUGUUUGUAUAAGGUUCAAUUAUUUUGCUAAGAAUAUAAUUUAAACUAGUGAUUCUGUUCAAAAGAUGUUUACAAAGACAAUUUUGUUUAAGGGUCAAUGAGAAUUUUUGCAGUCAAACUUUUAGUAGCUAUGUAUGCAUUCUUCCUUUUGAGCUUCAAGUGAUCUUGUUAUUCCAUUCAAGAAUAACUGUUUUACCUAUUACAAAUCAGAAACAUAAGUAUUUUUUGUAUUUAUAUGCAGUCUUAGUAAGUAUUGAUUGGUUAUUGCUACAUAGUAUUUAUGUGUGUCAUCAAGUAAGGGAAACCAAGAAAAAAUCUUGACAAAAAUAAUUAGGUUUCCUAGAAAAAAUUUCUAUGAACUAAUUUUUGCAAAUCUAUAGUUGAAUGGAUAUGAAUAUUAGGGAAAUUGUGGGUAAAUAUUGCCCCCUAUGAGAACAAAAAAUACAAAAAUAUAAUUUUCGAUUUAAAUAUAUCUUCACUAGCAAUUUAUAAUCCUCACUGAUCUCAAAGAAGCUUAAGGCACACAUUCAAGGCUAAAAUUGUGGGAUGAAAAAUAAUUAAAACGUAGACAGUAUAAAUAUAUAACACUUGGAAUCGCUAUAGUAAAAAAAAAAGUUGCGAAUGUAAUCACUGCAACAUUGCUGCAGGUAGGCAUGUGUGCCCUCUGUUAUUACUGUUACUUUACAGUACUGGCUCCUAAAGUGAAAUAUUCGUGCAAAGGACUAAUUUAGCUCUGAAGAAACUACUGGUAUGUUUACUAUUGCGUGGCCACUGCAAUAAAUAAAUAAAUAUAUAAAUAAAAUGCAAAAGUUGUAGCAUGUACAAGUUAAUAUAGGCGAGUGGGCUCGUGACAGCUAAUCCAUCCAUACACAUAGGCCUAAUAAUUAUGACGAGAAUUUAAAUAUCAGUUAAUUUGUUCAUUUCGUUUACAGUAACAUGUAGGUAAUAAGCUAAUAUCUUUAACAUUGUAAUAGUCCAAUAAAUGAAAUGACGAAAAAAAACCUUCUUUUAAGCACAAAUAAUGUAAACAAGGGUACUAUAAUGUUAUUGACACAACAUACUGCCUAAAUAACAUCAAUGCACCCUACCUGAAUGCUGUUAAGUAAGCAAUAAAUUAAUUUUAUAACCCAUUUCGUCAUUACAUAUAUCGGGAUUUAUUGCCUUAUUUCUACUAAAAAAUCACACGUUACAGUCUUGCAACACAACAUUAUAUUUCAUUUCAUAAUCUUAACAAGAUAAACUUGGACAUAUACGCCGUUGGUAGCUAAUAUCGGAUUAACAAAAUACAGUAUUCUGCAUUUAAAUGCAUUGCAACCAGUGAUGUUUUGCUCUCACAAGGGGGCGUGGUCGCUUUUUGUUUUGACUUCAACUGUUAACACAGCAGAGAUUACACACACCUACUCCCUAACUUCUUAAGGCGAUUGGUGCAUGGAAAAUAUUACGACAAAACAUAUUGAACAGUACAUAUUUACUUUUUAAUCUUCUUUUUAAGUUAAAAUGAAAAUUACCUAUUUUUUUAAUAAUUUUUUUUACUAAGUUAUGUUCUUGUAAACGUAUUUUUUUUCUUGCCGAACCACCAAAAAAAAAAGAAAACUUAAAGAAUGAUUAUCUUAAGUAUAGUUCAAGUAAUGAUUGUACAAAUAAUUUGUCGGACCAAGAAAUACUGAAUAUUCUUUUUUUAAUUGUUAAAUUUGCAUUUGAGUUUUGAAAAUUUCCAUGGCUCUUUGCCGGUCUAUUUUAAAAUAUAUUUUACGAAAGAAUUGCAAUGAAGUUUAAAAGAUACUAUCUGACACACCAUUGAGUCACGCAUGUAUUCUCGUAUCCUUUUGGUUUUGAGAUGACCUGACUCAAAACACAUACGCUGGAGUGAUAUUCCUAGCACUGCGCGUGAAAACUUCAUUUGCCGGGAAGAAUGUCCCUGCGGCGUGGCGCAAACUGGUGGCGCUCCUUGGAACCACGUAGGCGGAGAUCCGGCCGGCAGCCGCUGUAAUGAGGGAGGGGGAAGGGAGAAGAAUGGAGUGUAAAAGGGACAGAAUAACGGGGGUAGAGGGAGGCAGGCUGAGGCGGGCGAUGACACCGCGUCUCACUGUCAGACAAGGCUACGCUCUGUAGUGGAUGGAGGCUAUCGUCGCUCAAGCAAGGAAUAGGUUUUCGUGGAGAAAAAUUCGUGUAGCGAAAUUAUUUUUAAUUGUUACAUUUUUGAUAGAAGUUAAAUACCAACACGAUGCCGAAAAAGACACCAUUCAGCAAGAUCCGUAAAAGAACUAAACGGUCGAAGUGCAUAAGAAGACUGAAGGAAAAAUACAAAGAAUUUGUUAAUGCUGGUUUCAACUCUGUGGAAAGGUAAGAUUGCAAACUUUUGAGUGUGUUCAUCUUCACUAAAAUUCUGCCAGCACAACAUGUAUGUAUUAUAAAAUCACAUUUUUAGCUGUGCAAAAGUGCUAAUAUUAUUAAUUAAUUCCACAGGACAUCUUCCAGUUUAACAGAUUAUGCUCCUGCUGCUGCUACACAGAUGGAAACGUCUGCCUACGUACCACCUGUAUGCCAGGGCGAUCACGACACCACCAGCGGUAACGUCCAAAAUAUAACCGACGAGGAUAUUUCUGGAUUGGAUUGCUCAUUCUUGCCAAGUGAAGAAGUAUCGAAUGUUGAAAUUCUUCCAAAUGAAACUGCUGAAACUGUGACAAUGAAAGAAAAAAUCGUUCAAGGACGUCGUUUUGUAAAUAUGAGUCACAUGUUAAACCAACUCACUCACAUCUUUAGCUACUCAUGUGCUACAGUGCACAACAGGUCGCUUUGAACUUCAGUCCGAAAAAAGAAUUGGCAUUGUCAGCUACUUCACUUAUAAAUGCAUGAUGUGUGAAAAAACAAGGAUAAUUUCAACGGAAAAA